GUGCUUUCGAGGUGUUCCUUUGCCGUGACACUUGCUCAGCUUCAGUUGUGUUGGCUAGGCUGAGGGACCUCGUGCUUCUGGUUACAUGGGGCUUCCUGCUAUUCAGUGUAAGUCUGCACAGGAUGGAGUCCAUGGAGAAGUGCUGGGGCAGAACUGAAGGUUUCAGUUAAUAUGUGGAGAUAAAAGUAAGAACAAAGAGAGAGAAAAUGAGAAGGAGAACUGGGGAUGUCCAUCUUCACUAGAGCUGGGCGUAUGUAGCAAUAAACGUUCACAAAAUGUGCUUGUGAAUAAAACAUGCAGACUGUCUUCCUCAGUGAUUGUGACCCAUUUUAUUUCCAAACACUCGGUUGGAAAAACGU